GGCCCCGACAAGAAGGGCGAGGGUAAACGGGAAGUCGGUGAUCCAGUCCGACGCUGCCCCCGCAACGGUGAUCGAGUCACGCACCGCCAUAUGCCACUGUGCCACGCACGGGAAGGCGGCGGUGUGGAGGCGCACAGGCGCCUGCUCGUCAGCCCGGAGACCGGCC
rnacentral:ncRNA from 1 species